CCAUAUAGCUCAUUGGCAGAUGUCCCCCUUAACUUCUCUGGGACUUGGUUUCUCCCUUUACAGAGAGAAACUCAUUCCCCUUUAUAGAGGUUUGUUGAAAUCCAUAAAAAAUGACAGCUAGAGCCUGUGAGUUACAUGUUAUUAAAUAUAUAGCCACCAUUAUACAAUAAAAUUGAUUUGAGUCGGGAGAGGAGACUCAUCUGUGCUCCUUCAUUAACUCAACACUGAUUAUGUAUCUGCUCUCAUCGGGCAUAGGUGCUCACAUGCCAGGAGAAAUAAGCUGGUGAUUUAUGUGGCACAGCACCAUCGAUCGAUCUACAAAGGAAGCUUCAGUGCAGCCGUGUUGCUAUACAGACCUCUCUCACCAAGGCAUCAUGAACUGAAGGGCUGGGAGAGGCCUCGUGGAGGAGGAAGAGUUUCGCUCAGCUUCUUGGGUGUGGGACUGAAUGUGGUU
rnacentral:lncRNA from 1 species